AUGGCGAACUUACACCAGAAGACCAUCACCUCUGACUCGGUCUGCCCGCGGUGCGCACUCACCCAUGAGGGCGCCGCGCACGUCACCAUUCUUUGCCCAUGCGCGAUAUAGGUGUGGUCCCUCUUGGUGUUGCAACAACCUCACUCCAUUGACCUUCUUUGGGAUACUACAACACCGGUCGGCCUCGACAUCAACAUUUGGCCCACCGUCUCCCUCGCCAUACUAUGGAAACUGUGGGACUCCAGGAACGCUCGUGUCUUUCGCAACGAACAACACACGUCCCUAGAUAUUCUUCGGAACAUUAUCUCGGAUUUCACGCUUUGGGCCUUUAGGUUUAAGGACCCCGUCAGUAGGGAGGCUGCUGCGUCUUGGUGCCUUAGACAAAUCUAG
rnacentral:rRNA from 1 species